GACAUACCUAAAACGUUGCUUCGGCGGGAACAGACGGCCCUGUAACAACGGGCCGCCCCCGCCAGAGGACCCCUAACUCUGUUUUUAUAAUGUUUUUCUGAGUAAACAAGCAAAUAAAUUAAAACUUUCAACAACGGAUCUCUUGGCUCUGGCAUCGAUGAAGAACGCAGCGAAAUGCGAUAAGUAAUGUGAAUUGCAGAAUUCAGUGAAUCAUCGAAUCUUUGAACGCACAUUGCGCCCGCCAGUAUUCUGGCGGGCAUGCCUGUUCGAGCGUCAUUACAACCCUCAGGCCCCCGGGCCUGGCGUUGGGGAUCGGCAGAAGCCCCCUGUGGGCACACGCCGUCCCUCAAAUACAGUGGCGGUCCCGCCGCAGCUUCCAUUGCGUAGUAGCUAACACCUCGCAACUGGAGAGCGGCGCGGCCAUGCCGUAAAACACCCAACUUCUGAAUGUUGACCUCGAAUCAGGUAGGAAUACCCGCUGAACUUAAGCAUAUCAAAA
rnacentral:rRNA from 1 species